UACAGAGACCUCAAGCGUUAUCCGGAAUCAUUGGGCGUAAAGCGUACCGAUAGGUGGUUUAUAUAGUCUUGGGUAAAAGCCGGAGCUCAACUUCCGCGUUUGCUUAAGAUACUUAUAGACUAGAGGGGCAAAGAGGUCAUUGGAACCAACGGUGUAGUAGUGAAAUGCGUUGAUAUCGUUGGGAACACCGAAAGCGAAGGCAGAUGACUGGGUGCCACCUGACACUGCUAGGACGAAAGCGUGGGGAGCGAAUGGG
rnacentral:rRNA from 1 species